UGAAACAUCAGCACAGAGAACAUCAUCCAGGUGUCUCAUCAUAAUGUGCCUCAUGGAGUUCAAGUCACCAAAUAAUUUAAAGGAAUAUUCGGAUUCAAUACAAGUGAAUCUCAAUCAACAGCGUUUGUGUCAUAAUCCUAAUUAACACAAUAAUGAAUUUCGCCUCGUUCCUCCUUUUCUUUAAUAAAGCACACAUGUGUGCUCCAGUGAACACUUAUAAUGGAAGUCAAUGGGGGUCAUUUCUGGAGGUUUAAAGUCAGAAAUGUGAAGAUUAUAAUUUUAUAAAAGCACUUACAUUCAUUCUUCUGUUAAAACUCAUGUAUUAUUUGAGCUAUAAAGGGAAGUAUUAUACAAAAUGCACUUUUACAUGGAGUUUGAACAUACAUGUGUGUACACAACCACCCUAUAAUGAUAAAAAUCCACCCAGUCCUUUAAAUCCCCAUUAAUCAGAAACACUGUCUCAGAACAAGCCGUUCACAGAUGCUGUACAUAGUGACGUCACAUCGUACAGGCCCCGCCCACGACUGUUGACGGACAUGUUUGUUUGUGUGUGUUGUUUUGUUAUAGCACACAGUGAACAUUGUAACAGUAUUUGUGUGUGUGUGUGUGUGUGUGUUGCUCAUCCAUCGUUCUAAAACAGCUGAACAAACUCCACAACAAAUAAAUAAAUGGAUCAAAUAUCCAUUCAGGAACUUCCUGUUUCAUUCUCAAAGUUGUUCCUUCUUACUCCGGUUCACACAUAUCGGCUGAACACUAUUUUCACUGUCUUUCAUAUUGCUAAUGAUGUCUAUUUAUCCCAAAACUCCACCCUGUUCUGUAUACGGGGCAGGGGCACCAGCUCAUUUGCAUUUAAAGACACACACACACAAAAAACAGCUCGUUUUAUUCCCACACUAAAAUGGUCAUUUUCAACAUAAUAAAUGAUCUGUGGGGUAUUUUGAGCUGAAACUUCAGACACAUUCUGGGGACACCAAAGAUUUAAAUGACAUCUUGUGAAAAGGGGCAUAAUAGAUGCCCCAUCUUCAUUUUUUUAUUUAAAGCGUUAUGUGGUCAUGGCAACAAAGUUGUAAAUUGUCUCUAUGUUCACACAGAUGUGGUCAGUGAGUGAUUUAAUGACAGUAAAAUCAUGUUAACAUACAUAUUGUUCAUGUCUUGUGUUUAUACUUGUGAAACAGUAUUUUAAUGUGUACAGAUUAAACCCCAUUGACUUGCAUUGGAAGUGUCUCACUGGACACACAUUUGUGCUUUUAUUAAAGAAACGGAGGAACGAGGCAAAAUUAUGACAUUAUUAUCAGCCACAAAUGCUGCCGAUUGAGAUUAUCAGUUGUUUAACUCUGAAUAUUGCUUAAAAAUAAUUAGCAAACUAUAUGAGCGGACUAUUCAUAAAUCUGUGAUUACAUAUAGUGACUCACAUGAGUCCUGUGGAAGAAUCAAACUCUUCACUGCAUAACACUCAAUUAUCUGCUGGUGACAUCAGUCAGAAAAUCACACAGAAACUUCUUACAUUUGUCUUGUUUUCAUAUAUUAUUAUUUUCAACACUCAUGAGUCUCGCCCCUUCAGUGACGGAGGGAACGCAUCAGAAAAAGACAUGAAUGACUCAGCUUCAUCCAGCAAAUCAUUUAAUCCUUCAUUAUGCAGAACAGGACUUUGUCAAACGAGGUCUGGACACCGUCUGAAUGUGUUCGAUCACACUGAUUCUGUCAUUAACACUUUACACUAUGCUAAAAAUACACUUAUCUGUUUAAUCCGUGUAUGUGAAUAUUAUGGUAUUGAUUUCACCGAUGACUUGAUAUCAAAUCAUUCUAAUGGCAAUAAAACUAAUUGAACCCUUCACAAAGGUUUAUUGCACAACACUGAUUAUCUACAUUCAGCAAUUAAAAGCCUGAAGGAACAAAAUGAUGCUCAUGACAAGCUUUGAUCACUGUUCAUUUAAUGCAAAGAACAUAAUCUUAAUAUAAUAAUAAUCAGGAGAAAUAUUGACAACUGAUAAUCUCAUCAUAUGUACAUUUCUAAAAUACAUUUCUAUAUAAAGUGCAGGGAAACAUUGCAAAUAUAUAUAUAUAUAUAUAUAUACAGUAUAUGUUUGUCAACAUUAUUGUAAAAUGUAUUGCUUCAUAACUCAAAUCAUGUGCGGUGGGAAAACAGAACAGAUGUGUGUGUGUGUGUGUGUGUGUGUGUGUGUGUGUGUGUGUGUGGAACAGAAUCAUUCCCAAAGCUCGGAUGAAUCCGCUUGAAUCAGUUAUUCUUCCAUGUCCAGAGAAAGAAAACUGCGCUCGAGUAGAAAAGAGUUCCUGAGAUUUCUGAAAACGCAGAAUAAUAAAACAUUCUUGUUGUACUAUCACCCACACUGUCCUGCAAAGGUAAAAUGCAGUAAGUCAGACUCGGUUCAGAUUCACAGAAAACACGGUCAGAUUAAUUGAUAAUCCACGUCUUUUCUGUUUCAGUGAUGGUGUAGUUACUGCGUUUUGUCUUUGUAGGGCAACAGAGCUCAAAUAUAUGGAUGGUGCAAGAAACUCGUCAAGAUGAGAAAUACAAAUAGAAAACAGCCAAAUGAACUUCCGGUGUAAUGAGCCGCAGCUGUGAGACUGAAUCAAAAGCAUCAAUGAUGCAAUUAUGUGGGAAUUAAAUGAGGAGAGUCGUAUGAUCAGGUCAGCCAUUCAUGUUCAUUUUCAUACUGAAAUAAUCCUUAAAAAAAAACAAACAUUCAAGUACAAAAAUAAAUGCUGCGCCUCUUCAAUUUCUCCAUUUCAACCACCAGCAGACUGGAAACACACGAGCUGAUGACGUCAUAAUCUGUCGACAGAUUGACCAGAUCAACCAUCAGACUGAUAAACCUUCGCCGAAUAUUAUUUAAAUUGUGUGCAUGCACAGUAAACAUGACUGAAAUGAGUUUCUUCGAUCUCCACACAGAUGUGCAACCAACUCGUCAUUUUUAAACAUUUUACCACAACAGAAAGAGAGCGAGUGCAGCACGCGUUUGUCCUCAAAGUCCCUCUCGAGUCAAGUCAGUCCACUCGGCGGUACGGCUGCAACGGUACACGAAUCCGCGCCAAACCGAGCGGAUACAGGCAGUCACACAGAUGAUGACGUGUCUUAGCAUGCGUGAAACCAAUAUUAAAACAACUUAUAACCCCCCCCCCCGUCGUCCUUUCUUCAUUUUAAUAAUGAACUUAAAGCUUUUGCUGCUUCACUUUGCACCCUUUCAAAUGAGAAAGCUUCUACAGUAGCCAGUUUUUUCAAUGAGCUAAGUGCACUUUAGCUCCUUUACCCUUCAGGACUUUACAUAAAUGAUAUUCAUUUAUUUAUUUUACAUAUUUAUUUAUUUUUGUCUUCUUGAUUGUAUAUUUGAUUUGAGACCUCAUCAGCUAUUACUUAUUGUAUUUUGCAAUUAUGUCUGCCCUCUGAGAACUGUAAGUUAAUAUUGUUUGUUCAAUACCUAUUUUGUCUGUACAACUGAAUUUCAAUUAAUAGAAAGAAAAAAAAAGCCCACGUGAGUUACGCCCGGUUUCACAUAUCCUGAGCUGAGGCGUGAACAGCGCCCGUAUUAACAGAUUACACCCUUGCCAGAAAAUACAAAUAAUCAAGACAUUAUAGACAAUAACCAACAGCAAAUGUACAAUAUUUAAGCCGAACACACAAUCAGUAUAAACAAACACAAAUGAAGUCAAUAAAAUAAUAAAUGUAUUUAUAUUAUAAUUGAUUUAUCAAUUAACCCUCUCAAAAAUUACAGUGUUUUAAUUAAAGAAAAUGUUUGGUGUAUGAACACAGAGAAAACUCAAAACGACCGCGCAGCACAUGUCUCGCUCACGCAGGAUAUGCCAAACCGCUGUUAGUCUCGAGGGCCGUCCAAGCAGCCGCUCGCUGCAAGCUCAGACAGGGUUAAAGCAAUGACGAACACUACUGGAGUAUUGAUUGAUGCAUUCUCAGUCGUCCAGAACACAGGAUUUAGCGUGCUUGAUCCCGUUAUAAAGUUCCUACAAGAGCGCAUUUCAGCAAUUCUGUAUACAAGCACAUGCUGUAAUCGUCCAGCAGGGUCAUCAUCAAUGCUAACAGAUCCGCCCUCUCCUCUGAUCAUGUGGAUAUUCUGAUUGCACUUUUUUCACUUUUAUGUUUUCGUGACCCCAAAAAACCAAAGUACGUAUCGUAACGUGACCCCAAAAAACCAAAGUACCGUAAUGUGACCCCAAAAAAAACCAAAGUACGUAUCGUAACGUGACCCCAAAAAAAACCAAAGUACGUACCGUAACGUGACCCCAAAAAACCAAAGUACGUAUCGUAACGUGACCCCAAAAAACCAAAGUACGUAUCGUAAUGUGACCCCAAAAAAACCAAAGUACGUAUUGUAACGUGACCCCAAAAAAACCAAAGUACGUAUUGUAACGUGACCCCAAAACCAAAGUACGUACCGAACGUGACCCCAAAAAACCAAAGUACGUACCGAACGUGACCCCAAAAAACCAAAGUACGUAUCGUAACGUGACCCCAAAA